rnacentral:rRNA from 1 species
CCCCGAAACUAAGCGAGCUACUCCAGAGCAACUGACAGAACCAACCCGCCCCUGUUGCAAAAGGGUGGGAAGACUUUAGAGUAGAAGUGACACACCUAUCGAGCUUAGAGAUAGCUGGUUAUUCAAGAAAAGGAUUUUAGUCCAUCUUUAAGUUUUUUAAGUACCAUUAAACACCCAACAAACUUAAAAGUUAUUCAAAUAAGGGACAGCCUAUUUGAAAAAGGACACAACCUACAAUCUAGGGUAACGAUCCCCCCCGUGGCCAAGUCAGCCUAAAAGCAGCUAACUUCCAGAAAGCGUCCAAGCUUCACCACAAACCCUUACUAAUUCCACAAUUAAUCCAUAACCCACAACCACUACCGAAUAAUCUCAUACUAUAUGAGAAAUAUUAUGCUAGAACUAGUAACAAGAAGAAGAACUUCUCCAAAAUGUAAGCGUAAGCCAUAAUGAACACCCACCGGCAUUUACCGCCACAAACGAAGUAUUAACAUUACAAGAAAAUCAUACUUCAACUGACGUUAACCUUACACUAGAACAUUUCCAGAAAGAU